rnacentral:rRNA from 1 species
AACGUAGGAGGCGAGCGUUAUCCGGAGUUACUGGGCGUAAAGCGCGUGUAGGUGGCUGGUUACGUCUGCUGUGAAAUGUCCCGGCUUAACCGGGACUAGGCGGUAGAUACGGAUCGGCUAGAGGGUGACAGAGGAGCGUAGAAUUCCGGGUGUAGCGGUGAAAUGCGCAGAUAUCAGGAGGAACACCGGUGGCGAAGGCGGGUCUCUGGGCCGAUACUGACGCUGAGGAGCGAAAGCGUGGGGAGCGAACAGG